UACGUAGGGUGCGAGCGUUGUCCGGAAUUACUGGGCGUAAAGAGCUCGUAGGUGGUUUGUCACGUCGUCUGUGAAAUUCCGGGGCUUAACCUCGGGCGUGCAGGCGAUACGGGCAAUACUUGAGUGCUGUAGGGGAGACUGGAAUUCCUGGUGUAGCGGUGAAAUGCGCAGAUAUCAGGAGGAACACCAAUGGCGAAGGCAGGUCUCUGGGCAGUUACUGACGCUGAGGAGCGAAAGCGUGGGGAUCGAACAGGAUUAGAUA
rnacentral:rRNA from 1 species